AUUGAACGCUGGCGGCGUGCUUAACACAUGCAAGUCGUGCGGUAACAGGCGUAGCAAUACGUGCUGACGAGCGGCGAACGGGUGCGUAAUACAUGGGAAUCCGCCCUUUAGUGGGGAAUAACCCGGCGAAAGCCGGGCUAAUGCCGCAUAAGAUCUUCGGAUGAAAGCGGGGAGUCGUAAGACCUCGCGCUGAUGGAUGGGCCCGACUGUCGGAUUAGCUAGUUGGGAGGUAACGGCUCACCAAGCGACGAUCCGUAGCUGGUCUGAGAGGACGGCCAGCCACACUGGGACGUGAGACACGGCCCAGACUCCUACGGAGGCAGCAGUGGGGAAUAUUGGACAAUGGGCGAAAGACCUGAUCCAGCGACGCCGCGU
rnacentral:rRNA from 1 species